UACGGAGGGGGCUAGCGUUGUUCGGAAUUACUGGGCGUAAAGCGCACGUAGGCGGCUUUGUAAGUUAGAGGUGAAAGCCCGGGGCUCAACUCCGGAAUUGCCUUUAAGACUGCAUCGCUAGAAUUGUGGAGAGGUAAGUGGAAUUCCGAGUGUAGAGGUGAAAUUCGUAGAUAUUCGGAAGAACACCAGUGGCGAAGGCGACUUACUGGACACAUAUUGACGCUGAGGUGCGAAAGCGUGGGGAG
rnacentral:rRNA from 3 species